GCCCCUGCGUGCCGCUGCGCGGGAAGGAAGGCUUUUGGCGGGCUCGGCGGGGACGGGCGGACAGCCGGAGCGCACCCGGCUGCGGGGACCGCCCGUGCCGCCUCCUGCCCGCCAUGCCGGCCGCGGAGGAACCGUCGAGCGGCCUGGAGGGCGGCGAGCCGCAGUAUCUGCAGCAGGUGCGGCACAUCCUGCAGCACGGCCACCGAAAGGAGGACCGCACGGGCACCGGCACCAUCUCCGUCUUCGGCAUGCAGGCGCGGUACAGUCUGAGAGAUCAGUUCCCACUGCUGACAACAAAGAGGGUGUUCUGGAAAGGAGUGCUGGAGGAGCUACUGUGGUUUAUCAAGGGUUCUACAAAUGCCAAAGAGCUCUCUGCAAAGGGUGUGAAGAUUUGGGAUGCCAAUGGGUCACGUGAGUUCCUGGAUAAGCAGGGGUUUUGCACCAGAGAAGAGGGGGACUUGGGACCAGUUUAUGGUUUCCAAUGGAGGCAUUUUGGAGCAGAUUACAAAGACAUGCACACAGAUUAUUCCAACCAAGGAGUUGAUCAGUUACAAAAAGUGAUUGAGAUGAUCAAAACCAAUCCAGAUGACAGAAGAAUCAUCAUGUGUGCUUGGAAUCCCAAAGAUAUUUCUCUGAUGGCUUUGCCACCCUGCCAUGCUCUUUGCCAGUUCUAUGUUCUAAACGGUGAACUGUCUUGCCAACUGUAUCAGAGGUCUGGAGAUAUGGGACUAGGAGUGCCUUUCAACAUCGCCAGCUAUUCGCUGCUCACAUACAUGAUUGCCCACGUCACAGGGCUGAAGCCUGGGGAAUUCAUACACACCUUAGGAGAUGCUCACAUAUAUCUGAAUCAUGUGGAGCCUCUAAAAGUUCAACUUCAAAGGGAGCCCAGACCUUUACCCAAACUCAGAAUUCUUCGUAAGGUUGAAGACAUCAGUGACUUUAAGGCAGAAGAUUUUCAGAUUGAAGAUUAUAAUCCUCAUCCACCUAUUAAGAUGGAGAUGGCUGUUUAAUGCUAUUAAACAUCUUCUCUUACUAUGGAGAUCUACCUAAGCUACUUAGUUUCCUCUGUACUUGAAGUUUCAGUUUAUUUAUUUUCUAAAUACAAUUCUAAAGGUAUAUGCCUUGCUAUUGAAAAACAGACAUAUGUUGCCUUCAGUACUAAGUUGUCAGAACAAAUGUGUAGGCAUGGAAUUUACUGCUGUUUUUUCUAUCUGUUAUGAGGCAGAGUAGAAUUCGUGGCUUCUGCGCAUUGGAAGUCCUUCAGCACAAAGGAAAGAAUGCCCACGCUGGACACAAGCCAAUGUGAGUCAUUCCUUGGUGCUUCCAAACACCGAAACCAAGAAGCAUCAGCAGCCAUAGAGGCACUGGAUGGCUGUAGGGAUGUGAAUGAGUGUGGGGACACCAAGCAAAGGGUGAGUGCAGCCCCUGGCACCUGCUGAGGUGCAGGAAAAAGCGAGUUGUGAGCAAGCACAAGAUGGAUUUUCAGGGGUCCAUCCAUCAGCAUGUACUUACCAGUAACUGCAGCAAGAGACUUGGAGGCUGGGCAGCGGGGCACAAAGCACAGGGGUGAAGGGCUCCCACAGAGAGGGGAUUUUGAUGAAGAAGGAAUGCUUUCACAGCAGCUUGCUGCAGUGCUGGUGCGUGACUGAUUCACCAGGAAUGCUGCACUCAGGUUUCCCUUUUAAACCUGCAGUCUGCUCUUCAGGCCCUGCUGAGUUUAAUGGGGCAACUGGCUCUUCUCCUUUAGGAAGCACAAAUCGAGAGCAACACAAGGGCCAAUUUUUCUGCACUAAAACGAAAUACUUGAAGGAGAUGGACCGUGUUUUGCAAAAGUAUGCAGUGCUGGGAACACUCUGAUUUCCUCAAUAAAGUGGCUAUUACAAUUAAAAAAAGACUUAAAUUAAAAGAGAAUGUUAAAAUUAACCAACAUGUUAUGCACAAGCAGCAAAUAUUUGCAUUCAAAACUGACAUGGGAGAUCAGUUCAGAGUGGAUUCACUGAAGGACCUAUGGGGAAUGCCAGAAUGAACUCUGGUAGAUUCCUGGGCAGGCACUGUGCAUCAAACGGAGAGGAAGAAAACCUAAUCCUUACCCCUCAUACAUCCACAGGGAAAGCGACACCAAGUCAAGCCAAAGUGCCAUUGCUCAGGCCGAGCUCCAGCAGCAAGCAUCCCUGUCAGCUCAGGAUUCAGAGACCAGCAUCUCUAUGCACCACUUUUUCCUACGAAAUGCUUGAGGCUCAUUCUGGAAAAUGCUGCUCUUGUUAUAUGGGGACUCCCUAACUAACACCAAGAGCUGCAAGGAAGCAGGCACGGUGAGCUGAGCAGACACAACCACCACAGAAAACAGAAGCACUUGGUGUCAGCCCUUCUCCAUUUCCACUGUGAAGGGGGAGAAGCAGCUCCUCAGUUCCUGUGUGGCAGCCCCAACCCCUUUUCCAAAGCACAAAGAAGAGAAGAGAUGACACCUGCAGUGCCAUAUAUCCGCCCUUGGCCUUGUUGUGCACAGCUGCCGCGAGGCCUACAAGGCCAUGGCAGUCUUGCUCUCCCUCCUGCCCCUUUAGACAUUCACUCAUGCACCUACCUCACAAGACAAGAGCUAGGCAGGCAGACAUCCACCCAGACCUGCCUGCAUGACAGUUUGAGCCCACUGUUUGCAAGAGAAUACUCUGUUUAAGAGAGUGCUCUUGGGGUUUCAACCCAACACAACCAUGUGGUUCCACAGCAGUCUUGUGUGCUGGGGGGGGGGGAGCUGUCACAAACAUCUACAGCAUCUUCCCAAAAGUAAAAUGAAUAGAAUAAAUAAAACCCAAGGACUUUAUUGGAUUAAACAGGUCAACAUAAAUAACAAGAGCGGGGGCUCAUUACGUUUAGUUUAUAUUCACUUUCCAUGUUUCAGGUUUCUCAAUGCGGUGCAGAUAGUGCGUUUCAGAACAGAGCAUUCUAGAUGGCUGGGGGUAAGGCAGCAUCCUGCCUUGUCUCUAGCCACCAGCAGGCUCCAGGAGCAGACCUUCUUUGUUUAAGGCCCUUUCUAAGGCUGGUGUUCAGCAAUAAGAGCUAGUCACAGGCCCAGCAAGAUGACAGUUCAGUGGUCGCAAGUAUAAGAACACAUCGGGUUCUUUUCAUAACACUUUAUACUAAAAUAGGGAAGUAUUUUAUCUGAACAGUAGGAUCAUACACGUUUUUGUUUGGAAGUUUACUCAAAAAUAUGAAAAUAUUCUGAAAACACUACAGCUUGAAAGAAUGAAUGACAGAAACAACCUGCAGGCCUCUCACAAAGAGCAGACGUGGUAAUGGUGGGAUGGACAACAGGGAGAUCACCAGAAAUUACACAAUUGUUACCAUUAAAAAUAGAAAACAUUAAUUACAUUACAGGACAUACUUAAAAUACAGUAAAUGUUGCAGGUCAUAGAAUCUGUAAAAAUGUUCUUAGUGCUCUGUUAUGAGUCAUUAUUGAAACAAAACCAGUUGCUAACAGCACCAGCUGCCUCAUCUGUGGUGGCACUGCUCGUGAACUUCAGGAUCCGUGAUCCGAGUUGUACUGGCCUUUGAGACGGAUAACAUUCAAUGAAGUUGAGAUGAAACACCAGCUACCACAAGAACAGACUUAUAAAAUUCCCUGAAAGAAUUGCGCAGAAGCCACCAGAGGCUGCCAACAGAAGAUAAAGGAGGGAGGAGAGGCCCCUACCCCACAGCCCAGCUGCCAGUUGGGAACCCGCUUUGGAAGUUCUCUCCUGAGAACCCCAAGCCUGUCUGUCCAACCAGCUGUUACAAGAGACUUAAAAUAAGUCUAGACAAAUUUGUUCUAGCCAAUUCCUGCCAAGGACUUCUGAGCUGCUCUAGAAAACAUCUCCCAUUUGACACCAAUAGUUUAUAACACAUCACGAAGUCAGCAUCUUUGAAGUACACUAGAACAGUUUACAGUGGAUAAAAUAUAUAUCCCAAAGUCAACAAGACACCUACAGCUUCUAAGUUCAGUCUCCCCUUUUAUUCCACUCCUUUUUCCCUCAAUACGAUGACCACUCUGCUUUUGUUCCCCCCCCCGUGUCUCCUCCCCUCCCAAACAAGCAGAUGCAAUCAAGGAGAAAUUUAUUUUGAACCAAUUCUGCAAAACAGAUCAACAAUGCUAUACUUUAUAAAAAUACUUAGUUACAUAAUUAAACUUAUUAUUAUUUUAUAUAAAAAGUGUGAAUGUGAAUUUUAAAUUCUGUUAGGGUAAGAACCACAUCAUCAAGAUCUUCAGGUGAAACAAAUAAAUUUUCAUAAACAUACAAACUCUUUUGGAGAAGUCUUAUAAUACACAACCAUUUA